rnacentral:rRNA from 2 species
CCUGAUGACAAUAGCAGCUUGGAACCACACCUUCCCAUCCCGAACAGGAACGUGAAACAAGCUCGCGCCAAUGAUAGUGCGGAUCCCCGUGUGAAAGUAGGUCAUCGUCAGGC